UACGUAGGGAGCAAGCGUUGUCCGGAAUCAUUGGGCGUAAAGCGCGCGUAGGUGGCUUCGUAAGUCCGUUGUGAAAGUCAAAGGCUCAACCUUUGAAAGCCGAUGGAUACUGCGGAGCUAGAGUCCGGAAGAGGAGAGUGGAAUUCCCGGUGUAGCGGUGAAAUGCGCAGAUAUCGGGAAGAACACCCGUGGCGAAGGCGGCUCUCUGGGACGGUACUGACGCUGAGACGCGAAAGCGUGGGGAGCAAACAGG
rnacentral:rRNA from 1 species